rnacentral:lncRNA from 10 species
UGUUAUCCAACUUUAGCCACACCAAGUGGUUAGUAUUUCUGGCUUUUGAGCUUUACCAGAAGUAACCUCACAGGUGAAAACCACAAGCCUCAAUAAAGAUUAUGAUUUAACCACAAGUGUAUGAGGUGUUUUCAAAGUGGGGUAAGCAGUUCUUACAAAAUAUAGAACCUUUAAAGAUAACUCAGGGAAAUGAAGAUUUAAGAAAAAAGGUAAAUGUUGUUCAUAGAGGAGAAGAGAAUCAGGAAAUGGCAAAAGUCACACAGAUAUUAACCCAAAAGUGCUCAUUCCUCAAGUCAGGAUUGAACUCAGGCCACCAUUGUAAAAUAGCAGAGGCCAAAACAAAGUACCACCACAUCGCAAGGUCACGGUCCCAAGGACAUAAAACAAGAUGGAGGCCUGCAGCAAAAUUUGUUACUGACCAACUUACCAGGCUGGCUGGAACAGCAGGCUUAUGGAGUCCCAGGCCUGCAUUCCAUUUCAAGAUGUUCGGAUGUGUCCGGAGUUUCUUCCUUCCAGUAGGUUCGUGGUCUCGCUGACUUCAGGAGUGAAGCUGCAGACCUUCGCAGUGAGUGUUACAGCUCUUAAAGGUGGUGUGUCUGGAGUUAUUUGUUCCUUCUGGUGGGUUUGUGAUCUCGCUGACUUGAGGAAUGAAGCCACGGACCCUCACGGUGAGUGUUACAGCUGAUAAAGGCAGUGUGGACCCAAAGAGUGAGCAGCAGCAAGAUUUAUUGUGAAGAGCAAAAGAACAAAGCUCCCACAGCGUGGAAGGGGACCCGAGUGGGUUGCCGCUGCUGGCUGUAGUGGCCAGCUUUUAUUCCCUUAUUUGGCUCUGCCCACAUCCUGCUGAUUGGUCCAUUUUACAGAGUGCUGAUUGGUCCAUUUUACAGAGUGAUUGGUGCUGAUUGGUGAGUUUACAAUCCUUUAGCUAGACACAGAGCGCUGAGUGGUGCAUUUACAAUCCUUUAACUGGACACAGAGUGCUGAUUGGUGCAUUUUUACAGAGUGCUGAUUGGUGCAUUUACAAUCCUUUAGCUAGACAGAAAAGUUCUCCAAGUCCCCACUCAUCCCAGAAAGUCCAGCUGGCUUCACCUCUCAUUAUUGUCUCCUCUCCUACCCUCAUCACUCUUGUGCUUUUCUACUUUAGAAACAAAUAGGCUGGAUGCAGUGGUUCCUGCCUGUAAUCCCAGUACUCUGGGAGGCCGAGGCUGGAGAAUCACUUGAGGCCUGGAGUUUGAUACCAGCCUGUAAAACAUAGCAACACCCCUAUGGCUAUCAAAAAUUAAGAAAUUAAAAAAUAACAAGGGAAACUCCUGUUACUGUGGUUUUAGAGGGGUUUGAGAUGGAACAUAGCUAACUACUGGUAUUAAAACCAACAUUUUAAACCAGCCUCUUUUUUUGAGAUGGAGUCUCAUUCUGUCACCAGGCUGAAGUGCAGUG